AAGUCGUAACAAGGUUUCCGUAGGUGAACCUGCGGAAGGAUCAUUAACACAAUACUUUCUAUAUCAACCUUGGAGCAUCCGUCUGAGCCUUCGCUUGUGGGAGUGUCGUCUAGUCAAUGGUUGGAUUUUCGUUUUCGGACGAAUUCUCGGACUAGCCUGCUUAAGUUAGCCAGUUUCACUGUGAGAAAAAUCAUUCGUGGUUUCCUUACUUUGGGAUGAUGGUUAGCGCUCUACUCGGGAGGUAUACAGUCUCUACCAUGGCUGGCCCUUUUUUUUUUUAAACCUUUUGACAUUUGUACUGAUUUGGGCUUUUGAAUUGAGAGGAGCAAUCCUUUCUUCAAGCUUUUGAUGGAGUAAUCCAUUAAUUAACCAAAACACAACUCUUAACAGUGGAUAUCUCGGUUCUC
rnacentral:misc_RNA from 1 species